UAAUUAAAUAAUUAACAAUAUUGUGAUUAGAUAUUAAAAUUAUUAUUUGGUAAUAAAGACUUUGUAAUAAUAAGUAGGUAACUAUGAUAUUCGGGAGAGCUCGUUAUGUAGUUAUAAGAAUUAAAUAAUAAAAUCGAAUGUGUAGGUUUAGGUACUGUAUCAGUUUUAGGCUGCCUCAUAUCCGUCGUUGAUUCCAAAUUCCAGAAUAAGGAAACCUAACGCUUUAAUUAAUUUAACAAUGAAUGAUUAAUGAGCUAAGCUAUGUAGGUCACCUAGUGUUAGAUACGGAACUCAAGCAGUUGCUAUGUGAAUUGUAUAGGUGUCUCAAUUUUCGGAAAACAGAAAGAGUCUGAGUGCGAGAAAGUGAGAUGAAUUGCUCAAAUAUUUUGGACUAAAAUAAGAAAGAAUAAUUCAUUAUUUUGAAAGUUACCAUUUUCAUUACAUUUAUUGACAGGUCUCCAAGCUAAGCUUGUAUCUUGGGGGCGAAGUGGCUCGAAAUAAAUGCAUGUAUCUUAAUUAACCACGGCAGUGUGUCAGAAUAAUUAUGCAAGAGUUAGUUUGCUUAAAAAUUACAAAAGAGUCCAAUAACUCAAAAACGAUUAAGACUUGCAGAACAUCUGGCGGUGAUUCGGGCACUUUUCAGUUACUUCUAUCAUGGGCAACCUCUCAUAUGCACCGACACCCUGUAUAUUCAAUAGCUCCCUUUUUAACCUAUCCUAAACCCAGUAGGUAUCUGAGUAAAACCAAGGCUAUCGAGUAAACAUAUUGGUUAUCCUUAUGCUCUGACGAAUGCUACAUACGAGUUAAACGAGUUCAGGAAUUAUUUGAUCUCAUAUUACAUUUGACAGACAACGAGUCAGUACGUUUUGAACAUGAAGCUCCUGUGUUUGUUGGUUCUCGUAGCUGUCAUAGUGGCGAUGUGUUCAGCAGCCAGCGUAUCGUUGGAAGAUGGGGAGGAUCCACAGACGAGAGAAGGAAAAUACUUAAUACACGCACCUUGCGCUCUAGGACAAAUGAGAAUAAGAGGAAGAUGUCUGCCUUGCGAUCUAGACGAGGAAGAGUGUGUCCUGUAGUGUAUCCUGUCCGAGUCAUAACUAAGAAAUAGAGGAGAGUUACUGUUACCUACAUGAUGUCGUUCCAUAACAUUACUUCGAAGCUUUGUAAUGGUUAAUAAAGUUUACACUUUUAUAAACUCUUUUA